UACGUAGGGUGCAAGCGUUGUCCGGAAUUAUUGGGCGUAAAGAGCUCGUAGGUGGCGGGUCACGUCGGGUGUGAAAGCCCGGGGCUUAACCCCGGGUCUGCAUUCGAUACGGGUCUGCUGGGGUCCGGCAGGGGAGACUGGAAUUCCUGGUGUAGCGGUGGAAAUGCGCAGAUAUCAGGAGGAACACCGGUGGCGAAGGCGGGUCUCUGGGGCCGAUACUGACGCUGGAGGAGCGAAAGCGUGGGGAGCAAACAGG
rnacentral:rRNA from 1 species